CCUACGGGAGGCAGCAGUGGGGAAUAUUGCGCAAUGGGCGCAAGCCUGACCCAGCAACGCCGCGUGAAGGAAGAAGGCUUUCGGGUUGUAAACUUCUUUUCUCAGGGAAGAAGAAAGUGACGGUACCUGAGGAAUAACCCACGGCUAACUACGCGCCAGCAGCCGCGGUAAUACGUAGGUGGCAAGCGUUAUGCGGAUUUAUUGGGUGUAAAGGGCUGGUAGGCGGGGGGCCAAGGCAGAUGUGAAAACUCAGGGCACAACCAUGAGCCUGCAUUUGAAACUGGGUUUCUUGAGUGCUGGAGAGGCAAUCGGAAGUCCGGGUGUAGCGGUGAAAUGCGUAGAGAUACGGAGGAACAACAGUGGCGAAGGCGGAUUGCUGGACAGUAACUGACGCUGAGGCGCGAAAGCGUGGGGAGCAAACAGGAUUAGAUACCCUGGUAGUC
rnacentral:rRNA from 1 species